GAUGAACGCUGGCGGCGUGCCUAAUACAUGCAAGUCGAGCGAACGGACGAGAAGCUUGCUUUUCUGAUGUUAGCGGCGGACGGGUGAGUAACACGUGGAUAACCUACCUAUAAGACUGGGAUAACUUCGGGAAACCGGAGCUAAUACCGGAUAAUAUUUUGAACCGCAUGGUUCAUAAGUGAAAGACGGUCUUGCUGUCACUUAUAGAUGGAUCCGCGCUGCAUUAGCUAGUUGGUAGGGUAACGGCUUACCAAGGCAACGAUGCAUAGCCGACCUGAGAGGGUGAUCGGCCACACUGGAACUGAGACACGGUCCAGACUCCUACGGGAGGCAGCAGUAGGGAAUCUUCCGCAAUGGGCGAAAGCCUGACGGAGCAACGCCGCGUGAGUGAUGAAGGUCUUCGGAUCGUAAAACUCUGUUAUUAGGGAAGAACAUAUGUGUAAGUAACUGUGCACAUCUUGACGGUACCUAAUCAGAAAGCCACGGCUAACUACGUG
rnacentral:rRNA from 1 species